AUAUAUGAGUCGGUUUAUUGAA
rnacentral:siRNA from 1 species